rnacentral:rRNA from 1 species
GGUUAAGCGACUAAGCGUACACGGUGGAUGCCUAGGCAGUCAGAGGCGAUGAAGGGCGUGCUAAUCUGCGAAAAGCGUCGGUAAGCUGAUAUGAAGCGUUAUAACCGACGAUACCCGAAUGGGGAAACCCAGUGCAAUACGUUGCACUAUCGUUAGAUGAAUACAUAGUCUAACGAGGCGAACCGGGGGAACUGAAACAUCUAAGUACCCCGAGGAAAAGAAAUCAACCGAGAUUCCCCCAGUAGCGGCGAGCGAACGGGGAGGAGCCCAGAGUCUGAAUCAGUUUGUGUGUUAGUGGAAGCGUCUGGAAAGUCGCACGGUACAGGGUGAUAGUCCCGUACACCAAAAUGCACAGGCUGUGAACUCGAUGAGUAGGGCGGGACACGUGACAUCCUGUCUGAAUAUGGGGGGACCAUCCUCCAAGGCUAAAUACUCCUGACUGACCGAUAGUGAACCAGUACCGUGAGGGAAAGGCGAAAAGAACCCCGGCGAGGGGAGUGAAAUAGAACCUGAAACCGUGUACGUACAAGCAGUGGGAGCACCUUCGUGGUGUGACUGCGUACCUUUUGUAUAAUGGGUCAGCGACUUAUAUUUUGUAGCAAGGUUAACCGAAUAGGGGAGCCGUAGGGAAACCGAGUCUUAACUGGGCGUCUAGUUGCAAGGUAUAGACCCGAAACCCGGUGAUCUAGCCAUGGGCAGGUUGAAGGUUGGGUAACACUAACUGGAGGACCGAACCGACUAAUGUUGAAAAAUUAGCGGAUGACUUGUGGCUGGGGGUGAAAGGCCAAUCAAACCGGGAGAUAGCUGGUUCUCCCCGAAAGCUAUUUAGGUAGCGCCUCGUGAACUCAUCUUCGGGGGUAGAGCACUGUUUCGGCUAGGGGGCCAUCCCGGCUUACCAAACCGAUGCAAACUCCGAAUACCGAAGAAUGUUAUCACGGGAGACACACGGCGGGUGCUAACGUCCGUCGUGAAGAGGGAAACAACCCAGACCGCCAGCUAAGGUCCCAAAGUCAUGGUUAAGUGGGAAACGAUGUGGGAAGGCACAGACAGCCAGGAUGUUGGCUUAGAAGCAGCCAUCAUUUAAAGAAAGCGUAAUAGCUCACUGGUCGAGUCGGCCUGCGCGGAAGAUGUAACGGGGCUAAACCAUGCACCGAAGCUGCGGCAGCGACACUUAGGUGUUGUUGGGUAGGGGAGCGUUCUGUAAGCCGUUGAAGGUGACCUGUGAGGGUUGCUGGAGGUAUCAGAAGUGCGAAUGCUGACAUAAGUAACGAUAAUGCGGGUGAAAAACCCGCACGCCGGAAGACCAAGGGUUCCUGUCCAACGUUAAUCGGGGCAGGGUGAGUCGACCCCUAAGGCGAGGCUGAAAAGCGUAGUCGAUGGGAAACAGGUUAAUAUUCCUGUACUUGGUGUUACUGCGAAGGGGGGGACGGAGAAGGCUAGGCUGGCCGGGCGACGGUUGUCCCGGUUUAAGCGUGUAGGGGGAGUGACCAGGUAAAUCCGGUUGCUUAUCAACCCUGAGGCGUGAUGACGAUGCACCACGGUGCAGAAGCAGUUGAUGCCAUGCUUCCAGGAAAAGCCUCUAAGCAUCAGGUAACAUUAAAUCGUACCCCAAACCGACACAGGUGGUCAGGUAGAGAAUACUCAGGCGCUUGAGAGAACUCGGGUGAAGGAACUAGGCAAAAUGGUGCCGUAACUUCGGGAGAAGGCACGCUGGCGUUAGGUGAAAGGACUAGCUCCUGGAGCUGAAGCCAGUCGCAGAUACCAGCUGGCUGCAACUGUUUAAUAAAAACACAGCACUGUGCAAACACGAAAGUGGACGUAUACAGUGUGACGCCUGCCCGGUGCUGGAAGGUUAAUUGAUGGGGUCAGCCGCAAGGCGAAGCUCUUGAUCGAAGCCCCAGUAAACGGCGGCCGUAACUAUAACGGUCCUAAGGUAGCGAAAUUCCUUGUCGGGUAAGUUCCGACCUGCACGAAUGGCGUAAUGAUGGCCAGGCUGUCUCCACCCGAGACUCAGUGAAAUUGAACUCGCUGUGAAGAUGCAGUGUACCCGCGGCAAGACGGAAAGACCCCGUGAACCUUUACUAUAGCUUGACACUGAACAUUGAGCCUUGAUGUGUAGGAUAGGUGGGAGGCCUUGAAGUGUGGACGCCAGUCUGCAUGGAGCCAACCUUGAAAUACCACCCUUUAAUGUUUGAUGUUCUAACUCGGCCCCAUGAUCUGGGGUGAGGACAGUGUCUGGUGGGUAGUUUGACUGGGGCGGUCUCCUCCCAAAGAGUAACGGAGGAGCACGAAGGUUAGCUAAUCACGGUCGGACAUCGUGAGGUUAGUGCAAAGGCAUAAGCUAGCUUGACUGCGAGAGUGACGGCUCGAGCAGGUACGAAAGUAGGUCUUAGUGAUCCGGUGGUUCUGAAUGGAAGGGCCAUCGCUCAACGGAUAAAAGGUACUCCGGGGAUAACAGGCUGAUACCGCCCAAGAGUUCAUAUCGACGGCGGUGUUUGGCACCUCGAUGUCGGCUCAUCACAUCCUGGGGCUGAAGUAGGUCCCAAGGGUAUGGCUGUUCGCCAUUUAAAGUGGUACGCGAGCUGGGUUUAGAACGUCGUGAGACAGUUCGGUCCCUAUCUGCCGUGGGCGUUGGAAGAUUGAGAGGGGCUGCUCCUAGUACGAGAGGACCGGAGUGGACGAAUCACUGGUGUUCGGGUUGUCAUGCCAAUGGCAUUGCCCGGUAGCUAAAUUCGGAAGAGAUAACCGCUGAAAGCAUCUAAGCGGGAAACUUGCCUCGAGAUGAGUCUUCCCUGGGGCUUAAAGCCCCCUGAAGGAACGUUAAAGACUAUGACGUUGAUAGGCUGGGUGUGUAAGUGCAGCGAUGUAUUGAGCUAACCAGUACUAAUGAUCCGUGAGGCUUAACCUU